rnacentral:rRNA from 1 species
GCAUAUCUAUGAGCGGAGGAAAAGAAACCAACAGGGAUUGCCCUUAGUAACGGCGUAGUGAAGCGGCAACAGCUUCAAAUUUGAAAUCUGCCUUCGGGCCGAGUUUGUAAUUUGUAGAGGAAGCUUUUGGUGAGGCACCUUCUGAGUCCCCUGGAACGGGGCGCCAUAGAGGGUGAGAGCCCCGUAUAGUCGGAUGCCGAUCCAAUGUAAAGCUCCUUCGACGAGUCGAGUAGUUUGGGAAUGCUGCUCAAAAUGGGAGGUAAAUUUCUUCUAAAGCUAAAUACCGGCCAGAGACCGAUAGCGCACAAGUAGAGUGAUCGAAAGAUGAAAAGCACCUUGAAAAGGGGGUUAAAUAGCACGUGAAAUUGUUGAAAGGGAAGCGUUUGCGGCCAGACUUGCGCCGCCCCGAUCAUCCGGUGUUCUCACCGGUGCACUCGGGGCGGCGCAGGCCAGCAUCGGUUUCGGCGGGGGGAUAAAGGUCCGGGGAACGUAGCUCCUUCGGGAGUGUUAUAGCCCCGGGCGUAAUGCCCUCGCCGGGACCGAGGUUCGCGCAUCUGCAAGGAUGCUGGCGUAAUGGCCGCCAACGACCCGUCUUGAAACACGGACCAAGGAGUCAAGGUUUUGCGCGAGUGUUUGGGUGUAAAACCCGCACGCGUAAUGAAAGUGAACGUAGGUGAGAGCUUCGGCGCAUCAUCGACCGAUCCUGAUGUAUUCGGAUGGAUUUGAGUAAGAGCGUUAAGCCUUGGACCCGAAAGAUGGUGAACUAUGCUUGGAUAGGGUGAAGCCAGAGGAAACUCUGGUGGAGGCUCGCAGCGGUUUCUGACGUGCAAAUCGAUUCGUCAAAUCUGAGCAUGGGGGGCGAAAGACUAAUCGAACCAUCUAGUAGCUGGUUACCGCCGA